AUUAUUUAGUUAAACGAUUUACGCAUACCUAUACGGUCGAGACAUUAUUGUUACGCACAAGGCCAAACAUUUCCGUAGCUAAUGUAAUGGUGUACAGUUCGCGAUCAGUAGGGAACUGUAUGUACUUAGAAUUAACACAAAAAAAAAAAAAAAAAAGCUUAAAAACGUCAUAAACGCUCUAAAAAAUCACUGAAAAAUAUUUAAAAGAACAGUAGAGGUAGAGGGGUUUAAAAGGUUCCCCAUCCAUUGUUUCUGAAUUAUUAAAAAUAAUUUUUUAACACUAAAAAAACGAUUGUUACAAAGUAAUUUUCUUCAAAUAUAUUUGUACGUGUUACAGAAAGACAAACGUGCAAGCAUGUCUUGGUCUCACCUAAUCAUUUGUCAGUGUUAGAAAAAUCAUCUAUUUAAUAGAGUUAGAACCGUUAAAGCGGAGACGUUAAUACCCCUUUA